ACUAUACACUUUUCUGCUGCAUUUAUAGCAUAGAAGCAGGAAUACAACUCCGUGCAUUGUUGGCAUCGGUGGUUUGGUUUUGUUCUCCGCAGGGAUUGUUUUCAAUGGGCCACUAAAAGGAAAGCUAUGCAAGGAAAUAUGGUGUUUCUCAUAGUUGAAGGAGUUAAUUCAUCCGUUAUUCAGUGCAAAACGAAAAUCGAAAUCCUAAUGUCCAGACUGUAAUUGUGAUUGGUGCAGUGUAUUCGAAAAGUUGGUGCACAUAUCCUUUUAUUUGUUUGGCCAUUGUCUGUGUUUUAUUAUUUUAAUAAUUAAAUUAUUAUUUAAAUAACACUUCAUAUAAUGUAUAACUUGCAAAAUAUUAGAAGAUUUGUAUCUAAAAAUUAAUACUGAUCCUUUAAGGAAUAAUUUGAAAAAUGAAUACCAAUUCUUUAAGUUCCCUGUAGUAUGAAUUCUCAAAAACUAUUAAUUCAUUCAUUCUGUUAUCAUGUUUGAAAAAUAGCCCCCAAUGUUGCCCUGAAGUCAUAAUAAAAUUGACUGACUAUUUUAUCCUCACUCAGAUUUGCAAAACUUUUGACAGUCCGAGUUGCUUAUCAUGCCCUGCAUUAAUUCUCUUCCUCUUUUCUCCCAUUAUGUCCUAGAAUUUACUUUCUGUGUUUGUUUGUUAGUUGAUGUUUUCCUUCAUUUUGUUUCACUUUCCACUUUUAUGUAUUUCCUUUAGAAGAUUGUUUUGCAGCGAUCUCACUUACUGUGCAUGUGAAUUUUUUCCAGCUGUCUUCAAAAUUUUUAGUCAUUUUUACUAAAAAUCUUGCUGUACUGUGCUAAAUUAAUGACACAGUAGAAAUGUAAUGCAUACUGUUUGUUUUUAAUAAAAAGAUUUUUACAAGAAUA